GCCGAGCCACAAAGGGCCGAACCCCCUCCAGCCGCAGCCCUUCUUCCCUAGCUCUCCACAGGUCGCCCCCGGGUCCCCCGCCCGGGGCUGGCGACGCCUCCUCACCCGAGUCCCUCAGUCCUGAGGGUCGCGAUCCAGUGCGGCCGGCGGCGCCGAAGACGCUGGGCCCCAGGAGCGCGGCGGCGGGGGCGUGGCCCUCCCGCGGCGGCUAGGGCCGGGGUCUCGCCUCCGCCUCCCUAAGAGGAAGGCUGGCGCCGCCGCCUCCCCUUCCUUCCGGUUUCCCCUCGCGCCCUCCCUCGGCCGCUCAGUCCUGAGCGGAAAACUGCGUCCUCUUUGGGCGCCGCCGCACGCUCCUCUGGGCCCGACCACCGCCAGACUCCUCCCCCGGGAGCCGCACAGCCCGCCCUCGCCGCCUCGUCAGCCCCGGGGCCGCGAGACGCCUGGCUUGCCGCUCCCACCCCGCCCCUGCGGCGCGCUCUCGCCCUCUUGGCGGGCCCCUUUCGAAACCCGGGGACGCGCGGGCAGCGGACCGUAGCCCAGCCUUCUCCAGGUUUCUUUUCCCGCCGCGCGCGCCUAGGCGCGCGCCUAACAGCACAAACAUCCCACCGGAAAGCCAAAACAAUUGGGUCCGCGCAGGCGCGUGGAGGAAGCGGAAAGAGCAGGAAGGGCGGGGAAGGCGCGAGAAAUUUGCAGGCUGAGUCCGGGAGUGGGAACAAGGUGGACUAGACAACACCAGACCAGGGAAGAAAGAGAGGUGCUGGGAGGCUGAGUGGGCUUUGUCUCCUCGGCCCCUUCUCUCCAAAACACGAUCUCCACUUACCAGAGCACGUUCGGUUUUCCAGUACUCAUCAAGAGAGACUUCAUGUCCUGGUCUCAAGGCCAAGGGAAAACUCAAAGCAGCACCUGAAAUAGCUUGCAGUUCUGCGGAGUGAACCGUUGGCGUGUGGAGGGAAGGCUCUUCAGCUAGUUUGUACUGCAAUGCCUCGGCUUCAGCUCCCCCCAGUAACUCCAAAGGACAGCCUUCAGCUUCACCUCACCGCGCUGGCAUGUGGGAUCCUAGUUCCUGACAAGGGAUGGAAUCCCCCUACCCCAACCCCGCAUUGGUAGCAAGGAGUCUUCACCACUGGACCAGAAGGGAAGUCCCCAGGAAGAGAAUAUCUUGAUAAGACUUUAGAAAAAUAAUUCUGAAGCAUGGUGCAUAUU
ensembl:lncRNA